rnacentral:rRNA from 1 species
AACGAACGCUGGCGGCAGGCUUAACACAUGCAAGUCGAACGCCCCGCAAGGGGAGUGGCAGACGGGUGAGUAACGCGUGGGAAUCUACCCAGAUCUUCGGAACAACUGAGGGAAACUUCAGCUAAUACCGGAUACGCCCUACGGGGGAAAGAUUUAUCGGUUCUGGAUGAGCCCGCGUUGGAUUAGCUAGUUGGUGAGGUAAAGGCUCACCAAGGCGACGAUCCAUAGCUGGUCUGAGAGGAUGAUCAGCCACACUGGGACUGAGACACGGCCCAGACUCCUACGGGAGGCAGCAGUGGGGAAUAUUGGACAAUGGGCGAAAGCCUGAUCCAGCCAUGCCGCGUGAGUGAUGAAGGCCUUAGGGUUGUAAAGCUCUUUCAGUGGGGAAGAUAAUGACGGUACCCACAGAAGAAGCCCCGGCUAAUUUCGUGCCAGCAGCCGCGGUAACAC